rnacentral:rRNA from 1 species
AGGGUUUGAUCAUGGCUCAGAACGUACGCUGGCGGCACGCCUUAUACAUGCAAGUCGAACGAAGUAGCAAUACUUAGUGGCAGACGGGUGAGUAACAUGUGGGUAUCUUCCCUAUGGUGAGGAAUAACACGAGGAAACUUGUGCUAAUACCUCAUAAGUCUUUACGGAGAAAGCUUUAUGCGCCAUUGGAUGAGCCCGCACUUGAUUAGUUUGUUGGUAGGGUAAUGGCCUACCAAGACUGUGAUCAAUAGCUGAUUUGAGAGGAUGAUCAGCCACAUUGGGACUGAGACACGGCCCAAACUCCUACGGGAGGCAGCAGUAAGGAAUCUUGCACAAUGGAGGAAACUCUGAUGCAGCGAUGCCGCGUGAGUGAAGAAGGCCCUUGGGUUGUAAAGCUCUUUCGUCGGGGAAGAAAAUGACUGUACCCGAAUAAGAAGGUCCGGCUAACUUCGUGCCAGCAGCCGCGGUAAUU